UACGGGGGGGGGCAAGCGUUGUUCGGAAUUACUGGGCGUAAAGGGCCAGUAGGCGGCCAACUAAGUCACACGUGAAAUCCCCAGGCUUAACCUGGGAACUGCGUGUGAUACUGGAUGGCUUGAAUUCGGGAGAGGGAUGCAGAAUUCCAGGUGUAGCGGUGAAAUGCGUAGAUAUCUGGAGGAAUACCGGUGGCGAAGGCGGCAUCCUGGACCGACAUUGACGCUGAACGGCGAAAGCUAGGGGAGCAAACGGG
rnacentral:rRNA from 1 species